rnacentral:rRNA from 1 species
ACGGGAGGCAGCAGUGGGGAAUAUUGGACAAUGGGGGAAACCCUGAUCCAGCGACGCCGCGUGAGUGAAGAAGUAUUUCGGUAUGUAAAGCUCUAUCAGCAGGGAAGAUAAUGACGGUACCUGACUAAGAAGCCCCGGCUAACUACGUGCCAGCAGCCGCGGUAAUACGGAGGAUCCGAGCGUUAUCCGGAUUUAUUGGGUUUAAAGGGAGCGUAGGCGGAAGGUCAAGUCAGCUGUGAAAUGUAGUCGCUCAACGUCUGCACUGCAGUUGAAACUGGCCUCCUUGAGUGCGUAAGAGGCAGGUGGAAUUCGUCGUGUAGCGGUGAAAUGCUUAGAUAUGACGAAGAACUCCGAUUGCGAAGGCAGCUUGCUGGGCCGCAACUGACGCUGAAGCUCGAAGGUGCGGGUAUCAAACAGGAUUAGAUACCCUGGUA